CCUACGGGUGGCAGCAGUGGGGAAUAUUGCACAAUGGGGGAAACGCUGAUGCAGCAACGCCGCGUGAGGGAAGACGGUUUUCGGAUUGUAAACUUCUGUUCUUGCUGAAGAAUAAUGACGGUAGCUAAGGAGCAAGCAACGGCUAACUACGUGCCAGCAGCCUCGGUAAUACGUAGGGGGCAAGCUUUGUCCGGAAGUACUGGGUGUAAAGGGAGCGCAGGCGGGAAGCCAAGUCAGCUGUGAAAACUACGGGCUUAACUUGUAGACUGCAGUUGAAACUGGUUUUCUUGAGUGAAGUAGAGGUUGGCGGAAUUCGGGGUGUAGCGGUGAAAUGCGGAGAUAUUCGGAGGAACACCGGUGGCGAAGGCGGCCAACCGGGCUUUAACUGACGCUGAGGCUCGAAAGUGUGGGGAGCAAACAGGAUUAGAUACCCGAGUAGUC
rnacentral:rRNA from 1 species